UCAUGGUUUCUGCUUGUUCAGGAAUUUAGCAAACAAUAGCCUUAACGGUGCAAUACCUGAAUUUUUAGCUGAUCUACCUAACCUGGUAUCACUCGAUUUAAGGGACAACAACUUAAGUGGGCCAGUUCCAAGGGCUUUACUAGAUAAGAAUAACAGCGGGUCCCUUUUUUUGAGUAUAGAAGGCAAUCCAAGGCUAUGUUUAUCCAAUUCAUGUGUUCAGAGUGGAGAUAGCAAAUUGAGCGUACACAAAAGACAUCAAAAGGUUUCUUUGGUUGUAAUAAUAGCAUCAUCUCUUGGAGGAGUAUUGGUCAUAGUUUCUUUAUUGGUUAUGGUGCUGCUAUUGAAGAGAAGGAAACUUCGAGGUAAGCUCAUAUUUAUUGACCCACUUAGUUCUGACCAUCUAAUUUGAACUUAUGGAUUUGCAAAGAAGGCAUUGACAGACUACUAGUACUAGGACUGCCCUUUCUUACCUAUUCUCUUAAUGUGACCUCCUUUAUUCCUAGGGAGUCACUGCAGAUGCUUUUUCUCUCUUAUGACCUAAGUUUCUCAAAAGCAGCCUAUGUUUUCCAAGAAAUGAAAAAAUCACUUGUGAUUGAAUUUGUUCUAACAAAUGGCUUUUAUCUUGGAUAUUGUUUAUGGUGUCGCAUUAUGUUUCCUUAUCAAACUCUGUACUGUUUGAUGAAUUCGAACCAUUCUCACUUUUUCUUUGUUUAUAGUUUUUCUGAGAUAACUUAAAUUCUUACCUACAUACCUAUUAUAUU